AUUCAUUCCAGGGCUGCUCUGCAGCUGCCCAGGCAGCUCCGUGGGUGGCCACUCUGCUAACGUGGGAGCACACGUGGCUUCCAUCUGAUGAGCAGUCUCAGGGAAGCUGGGGGCUUCAGACACCAAAUGUCUAUUUCCCUCCUUGAUUUGAGACUCUUUUGGAGCUCUUGGAGACUUCCAGCAGAAACCUGAGCUGCCGGCUGCCAAGAAUCAGCGGUGGAUUUCUUGACCUGCUCUUAAUACCAAUUGAAUAACCCCUUUGAAAACGUUCACAUACAUGGGGUACAAGGUGGUACCUUUGUGCAUGAGACUGUUCUGGAGACGGCUUAUCACCCAGCAAAUCAGUGUUGGCCAUCUGGGACUCAGCGACCCUUUCUACGAGGCUAUGGUGAAGUCUCACUCUGUUGCCCAGGCUGGAGUGCAGUGGCACGAUCUCGGCUCGCUGCAACCUCCACCUCCCAGGUUCAAGCGAUCCUUCUGUUUCAGCCUCUCCAGUGGCUGGUAUUACAGGAACACACCACCAUGCCUGGCUAAUGCUUCUCUUUCUAUAAAUGAAGACGUGAGGCCGUGUAAGCUCCAAGAGAGCAGGGAUCUUGUUUGUCUUGGUCACCGUGAUAUUUCAGCUGCUGACCCAGUGCUUGAAGCAUACAAUCUGGAGUCUCCACAACUUUCUUCAUGGAACCACCACCAGGCCCCUUCUGUAGGCUUCUUAUGGAGGCUGAAGGUGUCUACAUGGCAGCAUAAAAUAGUAAUUAAGGACUCUGGAGUCACUGCCCAGGCUCAAAUCCCUGCUGCAAAUUGCGAGGUCUUUGAAGAGAAACUGAGGCCCAUAAAAUUGAAUGGCUCAUCUCAGAUCAAGUGGCCAGAUCAAUGAAGAGAAGUGUCCUUAGGUCCGGCUGCUGGUGUGAAGUAUGCUCUGGAGGUCUGACAUCCACUCUCCCUCAGACUUUCUAAUACGGCAGGAAUUCCGUCCAUGUAUACUCAAGCUAGAGUUGCCAGAUGAAAUGGAGGACAUGGCUGGGUGCGGUGGCUCAGCUCGGAGCAGUGGCUCACGCCUGUAAUCCCAGCACUUUGGGAGGCCGAGGUGGGCUGAUGGCCUGAGGUCAGGAGUUCAAAACCAGCGUGGCCAACAAGAUGUGCCAGUUCUGGUAAAUUUCCUAGCAAGCUUGAAGGAAGUGAAGGACAACUGCAAGGAAGGGCAGGAUGGAGCAUGCAGCCCACGUAUUCCCCAGCUUGGUGGGGCAGAAUGCGUUCUUGGCUCCUGAGGAAUGGGCAGGCAACGCACAGGGGUCCUGGGAAGAAAGGGAGAGAAUAUCCUGGGAGAGCCAUAGACCCUGGCACCCUCCUGUGGUCCUUCAUCAGGAUAAAUUUCUAAAAGAAGAAUUACUGGCCAAAGGAUUCCUCUUCAGUUGGAAACAGCAGCAAAGUUCACAGGUCGUGAGUGGAUGUAAAGUGGACGGAACAGGUUGUUGCCAGUCUAUUGGAGUAGGAUGGUAGAUGAGCAGUCCCGUUGGCUAACAGGUGUGGGUAUGCCUGUUUUAAAAAUUAGCAUGUUGUAGGGGAAUAUUUCUCAAACUUUUGUCACGUAUCUACCUCUUAGGCAUUUUUUACUUUAUUCACCUGUACUACUAUUUAAUAUUUUUAAAAUUCAACUGAUUUUUUUUUUUGCUUAAAUACAUGUCUUUAAAACUGGAACUUUAUUCGCCACUGUAAAUGGAAAACCAGUGUCAUUUGCCAUAUAUAGAAGUGAACUAUAUAGUAAAUACGGUGAAAGUGAAAUGGUAUCAUCACACUUGUGCUAGAUUCCAUUUCCUAUAGAAGGUUCUGGGUUUCUUAAAAGGCUUGUUAAAAAGAGAGAUGAGUAAAUGUGAGAGGAAUUUAAGACAUACUAGCACCAUUAAGACUUUCUCCUUAAAGUAAUCUGGAGGAUUUAAAUUGAGAAUUGAAAAAAGUAACUUUAUUUUACAUAAGAAAUUAUGUAAAAGAAUUAUGUUAUUUAAUGCCACAUCCAUACGUCAUCAAGAGUCAACUUGGUGACCACUAGUGGCCCAUGUCCCACACUUUGAGAAACGUGUGUUGGGGUGGGAAUCUGAAGUCAGAAAAACUGGAGUAUGAUAACCACCUCAGCACUUAUUAGAGGCCUUCACUUGGGAAUGAUGACCCUUCCUUGUAGGGUUGUAGUGAGAAUG
ensembl:lncRNA novel transcript, antisense to MYO3B